rnacentral:ncRNA from 1 species
CCUUCGAUGUCGGCUCUUCCUAUCAUUGUGAAGCAGAAUUCGAAAUUGUUGGAUUGCUCACUCACUAAUAGGGAACGUGAGCUAUUUGUUUGACUGUUUUUUUUAAAAUACAGU